rnacentral:lncRNA from 1 species
GCAAUUUUUGAAAGAGUGCUGCUCUAUCAUCUCUGAAGGUAUUCUUUGGAACCACUGACACCCAUCCUGCAAGUCUUGGUGCUGAAACAACCUUUACCAAAAGGGAACUGAGACAUGAGCAUGUUGCAGCUUUUAGAAAUGUUUAAAAAAGAACCGUCUCUCAGCUGCUAUCAGGGGAUUAAGGGAAGCUGGGAAGCUGCGCUGUUCGGAGCUGCAUGGAGGAGCUGGUGAACCAAGGGGCACGGGGAAGGAAUGUUAUAACUGAAAAGAACAGGGAGAAUGGAAAAUGAAAUUUGGAAUUGGAGCAUGACGGGUAGGUCAGAAAACCCCAGUUCUGAUCUGGUACUUGGGUACCAGUAGACACAGUUGGUCUUGCCUGCCCAGCAUCCAUUCCGUCAUCUUUCCUUCCCUUUGCAGAGUUCCUCAUCCCUCACUAUCAGCUUGCAGAUAUCCAGUGGAACUGAUCACUCUCAUCCCUAGAAUGACCA